rnacentral:misc_RNA from 1 species
AAGUCGUAACAAGGUUUCCGUAGGUGAACCUGCGGAAGGAUCAUUAAAAAUAUAGCAAACCGAGCGCCAGCGAGGUUUUGCGAUCAAAUUGUAUUUAAAACCCAACUCUUUGAAUCAAAUAUUAUAUUAUGUAUUUCAAAUAAAUAAAGAUCACUUUCAACAACGGAUCUCUUGGCUCUC